rnacentral:lncRNA from 1 species
GCUUCCUCUGUCUCCAACUCUCCCCUCUCAUCCUCCUCUUCUUACCCUUCACGCUGGAGAACAAAGCAGAUGAGAGUGACCUAGGCCAGAGACGUUAUCACAUGAUCACUUGUAUUCUGUUUUGUUUGGUUUUGACAGAGUCUCUGCGGCCCUGCCUGGCCUGGAACUUGGAGUGAUCCUCCUGCCUCUUCUUCCUGGGGGCUGGGAUCACAGUUUUUCUCUGUGAUGCCCCACACAUGAGUGCCUUCUGCUCAGGCCACUCAGAAAGCGGACCUGGCAGGCCUGAAGUGGACAUGGGACAGUAGGCUCUGGAGGGCAUCAUGUUUCCCAUUCCAUGGAGCAGUGUGUGCAGCCUCUGGCCUUCCGGCCCUGAGCCUUUGGAGAGACUGCUCGGCUCGCUGCUGGAAUCCCACACUGGGAGGAGCUGCGCCACCUAGUGGACCUUUCGCCAUCUUGGUGGUAGAGCUCGCACAGACGCCACCUCCAGUUUGACGCUUGGGUAGGACCCAAACGGAAGCCGCUGUCCAGCUCUCAGGACUGACGAGAUGAAGCCAGCCGUGAGUGGUAGAACCGAGAGGGAACAACCGUGGCGUUUUGGAGGGAAAUUAUCGCUCACUAGCUGAAAUUUAAGUUAAAGGGAAAGGUCUUUUUGACCUGGAAACAGCUUGUUCCUGUCAUCCAGGUUGUUGCAGAUAGAGGGACCACUGUUUAGGGUCCUAAGUUCCUCCCUCCUCUGUCAGCUUUCUUGCAGGCUGAGCAAGGCUAAUCACAGUAGAGCUGGCGCAGCCUAGAGGGAGCUGCUGGCUUUCCUCUGACGUCAGGGCCUGGAAAUCCCAUUUUAAGCAGGUUCUUGGGAGGUUGGAACACCCACAAGAAGGGAGGAGAAGCCAGAUGAAGCAACUUCAAGCCUGAGGCCGUCAGAGUCUGGAACCCAGGCCUGCAGGGCUGCCUAAUGUUCCCGGGAGACCCGGAAACGUGACGCAGCGCUAGACCCUUAGCCCUCAAGCUAAAGCCUCUCAGAGGCUCUUGAGAACCCUUUGAUUUAGUGCCCUCCACCUAGCUCUAGCCUGAGAAGACCUGAGGCAAAGGAGAGAGGGCAGGUGG